CCUACGGGGGGCUGCAGUGGGGAAUAUUGGACAAUGGGCGAAAGCCUGAUCCAGCCAUGCCGCGUGUGUGAAGAAGGCCUUCGGGUUGUAAAGCACUUUCAGUGGGGAAGAAAGCCUUGGGGCUAAUACCCUCGAGGAAGGACAUCACCCACAGAAGAAGCACCGGCUAACUCCGUGCCAGCAGCCGCGGUAAUACGGAGGGUGCGAGCGUUAAUCGGAAUUACUGGGCGUAAAGCGCGCGUAGGCGGUCUGAUAAGCCGGUUGUGAAAGCCCCGGGCUCAACCUGGGAACGGCAUCCGGAACUGUCAGGCUAGAGUGCAGGAGAGGAAGGUAGAAUUCCCGGUGUAGCGGUGAAGUGCGUAGAGAUCGGGAGGAAUACCAGUGGCGAAGGCGGCCUUCUGGACUGACACUGACGCUGAGGUGCGAAAGCGUGGGUAGCAAACAGGAUUAGAUACCCCAGUAGUC
rnacentral:rRNA from 1 species